UCCGGAGGAUUAGCUCAGCUGGGAGAGCACCUGCCUUACAAGCAGGGGGUCGGCGGUUCGAUCCCGUCAUCCUCCACCAUAUAUGUCGGAGGGGUAGCGAAGUGGCUAAACGCGGCGGACUGUAAAUCCGCUCCUUCGGGUUCGGCAGUUCGAAUCUGCCCCCCUCCACCAUUUUCUUUAAAAUAACCUGAGAGGGUUUAUUUUUUUGAAAAGAUAACCAUACUAGUAAAUAUUAAUGGGCUAUAGCCAAGCGGUAAGGCAACGGACUUUGACUCCGUCAUGCGCUGGUUCGAAUCCAGCUAGCCCAGCCAUUAAGAGCCAUUAGCUCAGUUGGUAGAGCAUCUGACUUUUAAUCAGAGGGUCGAAGGUUCGAGUCCUUCAUGGCUCAUCAUUUUUGCGGAAGUAGUUCAGUGGUAGAAUACAACCUUGCCAAGGUUGGGGUCGCGGGUUCGAAUCCCGUCUUCCGCUUAAUUAAUAAGGGGCCUUAGCUCAGCUGGGAGAGCGCCUGCCUUGCACGCAGGAGGUCAGCGGUUCGAUCCCGCUAGGCUCCAUCUAAAUAAAAAAGCUUACAUCNGGGUGAUGGCGUGCCUUUUGUAGAAUGAACCGGCGAGUUACGAUCCCGUGCGAGGUUAAGCUGAAGAGGCGGAGCCGCAGCGAAAGCGAGUCUGAAUAGGGCGUUUAGUACGUGGUCGUAGACCCGAAACCAGGUGAUCUACCCAUGUCCAGGGUGAAGUUCAGGUAACACUGAAUGGAGGCCCGAACCCACGCACGUUGAAAAGUGCGGGGAUGAGGUGUGGGUAGCGGAGAAAUUCCAAUCGAACCUGGAGAUAGCUGGUUCUCCCCGAAAUAGCUUUAGGGCUAGCCUUAAGUGUAAGAGUCUUGGAGGUAGAGCACUGAUUGGACUAGGGGUCCUCAUCGGAUUACCGAAUUCAGUCAAACUCCGAAUGCCAAUGACUUAUCCUUAGGAGUCAGACUGCGAGUGAUAAGAUCCGUAGUCAAAAGGGAAACAGCCCAGACCGCCAGCUAAGGUCCCAAAGUGUGUAUUAAGUGGAAAAGGAUGUGGAGUUGCUUAGACAACUAGGAUGUUGGCUUAGAAGCAGCCACCAUUUAAAGAGUGCGUAAUAGCUCACUAGUCGAGUGACUCUGCGCCGAAAAUGUACCGGGGCUAAAUACACCACCGAAGCUGCGGAUUGAUACCAAUGGUAUCAGUGGUAGGGGAGCGUUCUAAGGACAGUGAAGUCAGACCGGAAGGACUGGUGGAGUGCUUAGAAGUGAGAAUGCCGGUAUGAGUAGCGAAAGACGGGUGAGAAUCCCGUCCACCGAAUGCCUAAGGUUUCCUGAGGAAGGCUCGUCCGCUCAGGGUUAGUCAGGACCUAAGCCGAGGCCGACAGGCGUAGGCGAUGGACAACAGGUUGAUAUUCCUGUACCACCUCUUUAUCGUUUGAGCAAUGGAGGGACGCAGAAGGAUAGAAGAAGCGUGCGAUUGGUUGUGCACGUCCAAGCAGUUAGGCUGAUAAGUAGGCAAAUCCGCUUAUCGUAAAGGCUGAGCUGUGAUGGGGAAGCUCCUUAUGGAGCGAAGUCUUUGAUUCCCCGCUGCCAAGAAAAGCUUCUAGCGAGAUAAAAGGUGCCUGUACCGCAAACCGACACAGGUAGGCGAGGAGAGAAUCCUAAGGUGUGCGAGAGAACUCUGGUUAAGGAACUCGGCAAAAUGACCCCGUAACUUCGGGAGAAGGGGUGCUUUCUUAACGGAAAGCCGCAGUGAAUAGGCCCAAGCGACUGUUUAGCAAAAACACAGCUCUCUGCGAAGCCGUAAGGCGAAGUAUAGGGGGUGACACCUGCCCGGUGCUGGAAGGUUAAGGAGAGGGGUUAGCGUAAGCGAAGCUCUGAACUGAAGCCCCAGUAAACGGCGGCCGUAACUAUAACGGUCCUAAGGUAGCGAAAUUCCUUGUCGGGUAAGUUCCGACCCGCACGAAAGGUGUAACGAUUUGGGCACUGUCUCAACCAGAGACUCGGUGAAAUUAUAGUACCUGUGAAGAUGCAGGUUACCCGCGACAGGACGGAAAGACCCCGUGGAGCUUUACUGUAGCCUGAUAUUGAAUUUUGGUACAGUUUGUACAGGAUAGGCGGGAGCCAUUGAAACCGGAGCGCUAGCUUCGGUGGAGGCGCUGGUGGGAUACCGCCCUGACUGUAUUGAAAUUCUAACCUACGGGUCUUAUCGACCCGGGAGACAGUGUCAGGUGGGCAGUUUGACUGGGGCGGUCGCCUCCUAAAGUGUAACGGAGGCGCCCAAAGGUUCCCUCAGAAUGGUUGGAAAUCAUUCGUAGAGUGCAAAGGCAUAAGGGAGCUUGACUGCGAGACCUACAAGUCGAGCAGGGACGAAAGUCGGGCUUAGUGAUCCGGUGGUUCCGCAUGGAAGGGCCAUCGCUCAACGGAUAAAAGCUACCCCGGGGAUAACAGGCUUAUCUCCCCCAAGAGUCCACAUCGACGGGGAGGUUUGGCACCUCGAUGUCGGCUCAUCGCAUCCUGGGGCUGUAGUCGGUCCCAAGGGUUGGGCUGUUCGCCCAUUAAAGCGGUACGCGAGCUGGGUUCAGAACGUCGUGAGACAGUUCGGUCCCUAUCCGUCGUGGGCGUAGGAAAUUUGAGAGGAGCUGUCCUUAGUACGAGAGGACCGGGAUGGACGCACCGCUGGUGUACCAGUUGUUCUGCCAAGGGCAUAGCUGGGUAGCUAUGUGCGGAAGGGAUAAGUGCUGAAAGCAUCUAAGCAUGAAGCCCCCCUCAAGAUGAGAUUUCCCAUAGCGUAAGCUAGUAAGAUCCCUGAAAGAUGAUCAGGUUGAUAGGUUCGAGGUGGAAGCAUGGUGACAUGUGGAGCUGACGAAUACUAAUAGAUCGAGGACUUAACCAU
rnacentral:rRNA from 1 species